GACGAACGCUGGCGGCGUGCUUAACACAUGCAAGUCGAACGGAGUGGCGAACGGGUGAGUAACACGUGGGUGAUCUGCCUUGCACUUCGGGAUAAGCUUGGGAAACUGGGUCUAAUACCGGAUAGUGCAAGAUGAGCUCGCGGCCUAUCGGCUUGUUGGUGGGGUAAUGGCCGACCAAGGCGUCGACGGGUAGCCGGCCUGGGAGGGUGUACGGCAGCAAUGGGCCUGCGAUAGGGCGCAGACUCCUACGGGAGGCAGCAGUGGUGACUCUUGCACAAUGGGCGGAAGCCUGAUGCAGCGACGCCGGGUGGGGGAUGAAGGGUUUCGGGUUGUAAACUCCUUUCGACAGGGACGCGGUACCUGUAUAAGAAGCACCGGCUAACUACGUGCCAGCAGCCGCGGUAAUUC
rnacentral:rRNA from 1 species